GAUGAACGUUGGCGGCAUGAUUAACACACGCAAGUCGAACGGGAAGUGGUGUUUCCAGUGGCGAACUGGUGAGUAACGCGUAAGAACCUACCCUUGGGAGGGGAACAACAACUGGAAAUGGUUGCUAAUACCCCAUAGGCUGAGGAGCAAAAGGAGAAAUCCGCCAAAGGAGGGGCUCGCAUCUGAUUAGCUAGUUGGUGAGGUAAUAGCUUAUCAAGGCGAUGAUCAGUAGCUGGUCCGAGAGGAUGAUCAGCCACACUGGGACUGAGACACGGCCUAG
rnacentral:rRNA from 1 species